rnacentral:rRNA from 1 species
GAUGAACGCUGGCGGCGUGCCUAAUACAUGCAAGUCGAGCGAACAGAUAAGGAGCUUGCUCCUUUGACGUUAGCGGCGGACGGGUGAGUAACACGUGGUUAACCUACCUAUAAGACUGGAAUAACUCCGGGAAACCGGGGCUAAUGCCGGAUAACAUUUAGAACCGCAUGGUUCUAAAGUGAAAGAUGGUUUUGCUAUCACUUAUAGAUGGACCCGCGCCGUAUUAGCUAGUUGGUAAGGUAACGGCUUACCAAGGCAACGAUACGUAGCCGACCUGAGAGGGUGAUCGGCCACACUGGAACUGAGACACGGUCCAGACUCCUACGGGAGGCAGCAGUAGGGAAUCUUCCGCAAUGGGCGAAAGCCUGACGGAGCAACGCCGCGUGAGUGAUGAAGGCCUUCGGAUCGUAAAACUCUGUUAUUAGGGAAGAACAAAUGUGUAAGUAACUGUGCACGUCUUGACGGUACCUAAUCAGAAAGCCACGGCUAACUACGUG